rnacentral:pre_miRNA from 1 species
AUCACCUGAGGGGUCUUGUUAAAAUGCAGGUCCUACUUCAGUCUGCCUGGGCUAAGCCUGAGGUCCUGCAUUUUAAACAAGCUCCCAGGUGAUGCUGA